rnacentral:rRNA from 1 species
UACGUAGGGUGCAAGCGUUGUCCGGAAUUAUUGGGCGUAAAGAGCUCGUAGGCGGCUUGUCGCGUCGAAUGUGAAAACCCACGGCUCAACUGUGGGCUUGCAUUCGAUACGGGCAGGCUAGAGUUCGGUAGGGGAGACUGGAAUUCCUGGUGUAGCGGUGAAAUGCGCAGAUAUCAGGAGGAACACCGGUGGCGAAGGCGGCUCUCUGGGACGGUACUGACGCUGAGACGCGAAAGCGUGGGGAGCGAACAGG